rnacentral:rRNA from 1 species
ACUGAGCUAGCGGCGGACGGGUGAGUAAAGCUUAGGAAUCUGCCUAUUAGUGGGGGACAACAUUUCGAAAGGGAUGCUAAUACCGCAUACGUCCUACGGGAGAAAGCAGGGGAUCACUUGUGACCUUGCGCUAAUAGAUGAGCCUAAGUCGGAUUAGCUAGUUGGUGGGGUAAAGGCCUACCAAGGCGACGAUCUGUAGCGGGUCUGAGAGGAUGAUCCGCCACACUGGGACUGAGACACGGCCCAGACUCCUACGGGAGGCAGCAGUGGGGAAUAUAGGACAAUGGGGGGAACCCUGAUUCAGCCAUGCCGCGUGUGUGAAGAAGGCCCUUUGGUUGUAAAGCACUUUAAGUGGGGAGGAGGCUUACCUGGUUAAUACCUGGGCUAAGUGGACGUUACCCACAGAAGAAGCACCGGCUAACUCCGUGCCAGCCGCCGCGGUAAUAC